GAUAUAGCUCAGUCGGGUGAGCGCCCGCUUCUCAAUCAAGAGAUGCGGGUUCGAAUCCCGGCGCUGACA
rnacentral:tRNA from 1 species